rnacentral:rRNA from 1 species
AGUUUUUAUUACCCGUGUUCACAGUGAUACGCAGUGGAGUAUGGCCUGACACACGCAAGUCGUAAAGGCAGCACCGUAAGAGACAUAGCUUUUAUGUGUGGCGAAGUGGCGGACGGGUGAGGAAUACAUCGGAAUCUACUUUUCGUGGGGGAUAACGUAGGGAAACUUACGCUAAUACCGCAUACGACCUACGGGUGAAAGCAGGGGACCUUCGGGCCCUGCGCGAUUGAAUGAGCCGAUGUUGGAUUAGCUAGUUGGCGGGGUAAAGGCCCACCAAGGCGACGAUCCGUAGCUGGUUUGAGAGGAUGAUCAGCCACACUGGAAAUGAGACACGGUCCAGACUCCUACGGGAGGCAGCAGUGGGGAAUAUUGGACAAUGGGCGCAAGCCUGAUCCAGCCAUACCGCGUGGGUGAAGAAGGCUUUCGGGUUGUAAAGCCCUUUUGUUGGGAAAGAAAUCCAGCCGGCUAAUACCUGGUUGGGAUGACGGUACCCAAAGAAUAAGCACCGGCUAACUUCGUGCCAGCAGCCGCGGUAAUACGAAGGGUGCCAGCGUUACUUGGAAUUACUGGGCGUAAAGCGUGCGUAGGUGGUUGUUUAAGUCUGUUGUGAAAGCCCUGGGCUCAACCUGGGAACUGCAGUGGAAACUGGACAACUAGAGUGUGGUAGAGGGUAGCGGAAUUCCCGGUGUAGCAGUGAAAUGCGUAGAGAUCGGGAGGAACAUCCAUGGCGAAGGCAGCUACCUGGACCAACACUGACACUGAGGCACGAAAGCGUGGGGAGCAAACAGGAUUAGAUACCCUGGUAGUCCACGCCCUAAACGAUGCGAACUGGAUGUUGGGUGCACAUUUGGCACGCAGUAUCGAAGCUAACGCGUUAAGUUCGCCGCCUGGGGAGACGUCG